rnacentral:rRNA from 1 species
UACGGGGAGAGCAAGCGUUGUUCGGAUUUACUGGGCGUAAAGGGCGGGUAGGCGGCCACCGCAAGUCGACUGUGAAAUCUCCGGGCUUAACCCGGAAAGGUCAGCCGAUACUGCGGGGCUAGAGUGCAGAAGGGGCAACUGGAAUUCUCGGUGUAGCGGUGAAAUGCGUAGAUAUCAGGAAGAACACCCGUGGCGAAGGCGGCUCUCUGGGACGGUACUGACGCUGAGACGCGAAAGCGUGGGGAGCGAACAGG